AUGGCGGAGGAGGCGGCAUGGCGGGUGGAGCUCCGGGCCCGGUUGACCUCCGUCCAGGAGGAUGUCGACGGGCUCUUCUCGAGGCUUGACCGGAGCGUCGCCGCUCUCGAGCAGGAGCGGCUCCACGGCCGCGACGCGCCGACCACCACGAGUGCCAGCGCUCGGGGGACGGUCGAGGCGGCGCUCGACGACCUCAGCGAGUUGUGCGCCUCGCUCGGCGUCGCCGCCGCCGACAUGCUCGAGAUCGAGAAGGGAGCGCUCGCCGGAGGAAGCGACGACCAGGCGGCGCCGCUCCUCUCCAUCCAGGACUUUCACGGCCGAGACGAGGGCGCGUUCCACGCCCUCCUCGGGCUCCAGAGUGCGAGGGCGCACGCCGGGGACGCCCGAGGGAGCGUCGAGUCGGCCUGCGGCUUCAUGAGAGCCGCGGGGCUCAUCCUCGGGACUCAGCCACGCCCGCCGCGGGUCGGGGUCAUCCUGAACCACAAGCGAUUGGGGGCUGUCAACGCUCUACGGGGGCGGUCGGGGCGUGGGGUGACUGCCGUGCGGAGGUGCGGGCCGCGAUCCCACAUUUGGUUGCGGCGGAGGACAAUGAGAUAUGGUGGGAGCAGGCUGGCGAGCUGCCUCACGCCGAGGAUGACGCGGAGGUUGAGGGCGACGACGACGCCGAUGAGGGCGAGGAUGACGAGGAGGCCGUGUGGUGGGAGGUCGAUGACGGCGAGGGCUCUGCAUCAGAGGAGGAGGAGGAGGAGGACGCCGGGAGAUCUGAGUUGGACGGCAGCGCCAAGUCCCCGCCGUGAUCGCUUCUACGCACCUCCUGGGGUCGUGAGCCGGACUGCAGUGGAUUCCGGAUGA
rnacentral:rRNA from 1 species